UAUUUAAUAAAUAAGAUGGGUCCCACCCUUACCUUUACUUUUAUCCAUUUACCUUUAUCCACCAUACCUUAACUACAUAUCUUUUCCCCAUUUCCUAUUUUCAAUCUAACCAUAAGUAAAUGCCUAACAAAGGAGACUCAAGACACCAAAUCGACAACCUCUUUUCACCUUGCAUCCUCAGAGUUCCAAACUCUCACUAAGCCCUCAAUGCUCUCCAGAAAUCGAUACUCUCUCGUUACACCCUCAAUGUUCUAUGGAGUCCCCCGUAAGACCAUCACCUCUCCUUUAUCCGCUCCUCUCCCUGGUAGGCCUGAACCAUAUCCAAGACCAUCAUUGUUUUUUGUUUUUUGCCACCAAUGAAAACAAAUUGAUUCCCUGCAUAACUUCACCAUCACAUCAUCAUUUUCAUUUUUUCUUUUAUGGAUUCAAGUGGCAGAAGUGAUGGUGGUGGUGGGUUUUAUUGGAAACAACAUAAAUUUUCUUUUAUGGAUUCAACUUCAUAGGAAGCUCAUCUUUCCCUCCUCUUUUCUUGAAUGAAUUCCCUUGGAAACAAGUCUGGUUAGACUAAUUUGAUGAGAAUAAAGAUUUAGGGCUCGUGAUUUUGUUAAUUGUUUCAUCUCUACACUUUUUAUGAAAUUUCGUUGUGUUGAUUGUUUUUAGAGAAUUUACAUGCCUUUGUUUUGUAUAUCUGCUACUUUUUUAUUACUCCAUAUCUUCUUGUUGAUCCCAUUUAAAGGUUUACUAUUUUGAUUUCUGAUUUAUAACGGAUGGAGAAUAUGACCUUCGUCGUACGAGAGAUGAUGACAUUAAUAUUUUUUAAUUAAUAAAUAAAAAAUAAAAAAUAAACCAAUUAAAAAAGAAAUAAAGAAGGGCGAUAGUCUUUUUAAGUUUGGCAGGACCAAACACGCAACAAAACUACAUUUUAGGGAAAAAUGAAUUAGAAACCAAAAGCAAAUAUUAUCUCAAACUACAUGGCUUACCAAACACACCGGAAUCCUUCGUCCACUGACGUCUAAGAAGCUGCGACGAUGGGUAAAGGUCGUGAGCGGUGUCGCAGGCAAGGGGAAUAAGAAAGGAGCGCCUUUUACGAUCGAUUGUAGGAAGCCGGUGGAGGAUAAGAUCAUGGACAUCGCGUUAUUGGAAAAGUUUUUACAUGAGCGCAUCAAAAUUUGUGGCAAUGCUGGAGCUCUCAGCGAGUCCAUCUCCAUUUCGCAAGAUAAGAACAAAACCACCGUCACCUCGGACUUAACAUUCUCAGGUACAUUCGAUACUAAGGGGAAGGGCCCGACGUGAUGACACAACAUUCUCCCCUUAUGUUUUUACGCACUUUUGAUAUUUUGUUACUCUUAUGUUUGACAUUGUACCAUGUAUAUGUUUUGGAACAAUUUGAUGAUUGAGACACUUAAUUUAAAAAUGAAAAAAAUUUAUUA